GAUGAACGCUGGCGGCGUGCUUAACACAUGCAAGUCGAACGCACAUAUCUUUCGGGGUGUGUGAGUGGCAGACGGGUGCGUAACACGUAGGUGACCUGCCUUCAAGUGGGGAAUAACUGUCCUAACGGAUGGCUAAUACCGCAUAUGUUCCCGGCGUCGCGUCGGGAGUAAAGCAGCAAUGCGCUUGGAGAGGGGCCUGCGGCGGAUUAGCUAGUUGGUGGGGUAACGGCCUACCAAGGCGAUGAUCCGUAGGGGGCGUGAGAGCGUGGCCCCCCACACUGGCACUGAGAUACGGGCCAGACUCCUACGGGAGGCAGCAGUGAGGAAUAUUGCACAAUGGGCGCAAGCCUGAUGCAGCAACGCCGCGUGCGGGACGAAGGCCUUCGGGUCGUAAACCGCUUUUCUGGGGAAAGAGCAAGGACGGUACCUCAGGAAUAAAUCUCGGCUAACUACGUGCCAGCAGCCGCGGUAAAACGUAGGAGGCGAGCGUUAUCCGGAUUUACUGGGCGUAAAGCGCACGCAGGCGGCUCUGUGAGUCGGACGUGAAAGCUCCCGGCUUAACCGGGAGAGGCCGUUCGAUACUGCGGGGCUUGAGGUAGGGAGAGGAAUGCGGAAUUCCCGGUGUAGUGGUGGAAUGCGUAGAUAUCGGGAGGAACACCUGUGGCGAAAGCGGCAUUCUGGCCCUCACCUGACGCUGAGGUGCGAAAGCGUGGGUAGCAAACAGGAUUAGAUACCCUGGUAGUCCACGCAGUAAACGAUGAUUACUGGCUGUUUGCGAUACAAUGUAAGCGGCUGAGCGAAAGCGUUAAGUAAUCCACCUGGGGAGUACGUUCGCAAGAAUGAAACUCAAAGGAAUUGACGGGGGCCCGCACAAGCGGAGGAACAUGUGGUUUAAUUCGAUGAUACGCGAGGAACCUUACCCGGGCUUGAAAUGCAUCUGACGUAUUCGGAAACGGAUAUUCCCUACGGGGCAGAUGUGUAGGUGCUGCAUGGUUGUCGUCAGCUCGUGCCGUGAGGUGUCGGCUUAAGUGCCAUAACGAGCGCAACCCUCAUCGUCAGUUACCAUCAGGUAAAGCUGGGGACUCUGGCGAGACUGCCAUCGUAAGAUGCGAGGAAGGUGGGGAUGACGUCAAAUCAGCACGGCCCUUACGUCCGGGGCGACACACGUGUUACAAUGGGUGGUACAAAGGGCAGCUACCUGGCGACAGGAUGCUAAUCUCCAAAACCACUCUCAGUUCGGAUCGGAGUCUGCAACUCGACUCCGUGAAGCUGGAUUCGCUAGUAAUCGCGCAUCAGCCACGGCGCGGUGAAUACGUUCCCGGGCCUUGUACACACCGCCCGUCAAGCCAUGGGAGCCGGGGGUACCUGAAGAUCGUAACCGAUAAGGAGCGAUCUAGGGUAAAACUGGUGACUGGGGCU
rnacentral:rRNA from 1 species